rnacentral:misc_RNA from 1 species
UACGUAGGAUCCGAGCGUUGUCCGGAAUUACUGGGUGUAAAGGGCGUGUAGGUGGGCCUACAAGUCGGUGGUGAAAUCCUGCAGCUUAACUGCAGAAUGGCCUCCGAGACUGCAGGUCUUGAGUGCGGCAGAGGGAGAUGGAAUUCAUGGUGUAGCGGUGAAAUGUGUAGAUAUCAUGAAGAACACCGGUGGCGAAGGCGGUCUCCUGGUCCGUAACUGACACUGAGGCGCGAAAGCGUGGGGAGCAAACAGG